UACGGAGGGUGCGAGCGUUGUCCGGAAUCAUUGGGCGUAAAGGGCGCGUAGGUGGCCCGGUCAGCGUGCGGUGAAAGCUCGGGGCUCAACCCCGAGUCGGCCGUGCGAACUGCUGGGCUGGAGCACUGUAGAGGCGUGUGGAAUUCCGGGUGUAGUGGUGAAAUGCGUAGAGAUCCGGAGGAACACCAGUGGCGAAGGCGACACGCUGGGCCGUACCUGACACUGAUGCGCGACAGCAUGGGGAGCAAACAGG
rnacentral:rRNA from 1 species